rnacentral:tRNA from 1 species
GCUCUGGCUCAGUGGUAGGCCAAUUGCUUAGCAUGCAAAAGGUCCCAGGUUUGACCCCUGAGAUCUCCG